GACGAACGCUGGCGGCGUGGAUUAGGCAUGCAAGUCGAACGGUAUCAUCCUUUCGGGGGUGAGAGAGUGGCGAACUGGUGAGUAACACGUAGGUUAUCUACCCUCAAGACGGGGACAACCCAGGGAAACUUGGGCUAAUACCGGAUGUGAGCAACUUUUAGUUGUUUGAAAGGUGGCGUAAGCUGUCGCUUGGGGAUGAGCCUGCGUCCUAUUAGUUAGUUGGUGAGGUAACGGCUCACCUAGGCAAUGAUAGGUAGGCGGCCUUAACGGGUGGUCGCCCACACUGGGAUUGAGAUACGGCCCAGACUCCUACGGGAGGCAGCAGUCGAGAAUAGUCUACAAUGGUCGGAAGACUGAUAGUGCGACGCCGCGUGAACGAUGAAUCCCUUCGGGGUGUAAAGUUCUUUUAUAUGUGAGCAGUGCUUCUUAUAUUAACAGUUAUGGGGAGAGAGAUAUUAGCAUAUGAAUAAGCAACGGCUAACUCCGUGCCAGCAGCCGCGGUAA
rnacentral:rRNA from 1 species